rnacentral:rRNA from 1 species
UGUGCCAGCCGCCGCGGUAAUACGGAGGGUGCAAGCGUUAAUCGGAAUUACUGGGCGUAAAGCGCACGCAGGCGGUUUGUUAAGUCAGAUGUGAAAUCCCCGAGCCUAACUUGGGAACUGCAUUUGAAACUGGCAAGCUAGAGUCUAGUAGAGGGGGGUAGAAUUCCAGGUGUAGCGGUGAAAUGCGUAGAUAUCUGGAGGAAUACCGGUGGCGAAGGCGGCCCCCUGGACAAAGACUGACGCUCAGGUGCGAAAGCAUGGGGAGCAAACAGGAUUA